AUCCGGGUUUAUUUGGUUUAAAGGGUGCGCAGGCGGAAGAUCAAGUCAGCGGUAAAAUUGAGAGGCUCAACCUCUUCGAGCCGUUGAAACUGGUUUUCUUGAGUGAGCGAGAAGUAUGCGGAAUGCGUGGUGUAGCGGUGAAAUGCAUAGAUAUCACGCAGAACUCCGAUUGCGAAGGCAGCAUACCGGCGCUCAACUGACGCUCAUGCACGAAAGUGUGGGUAUCGAACAGGAUUAGAUACCCUGGUAGUCCACACAGUAAACGAUGAAUACUAAUUGUUCGGGGAGAAUGAUCCCUGAGUGAUACAGCGAAAGCGUUAAGUAUUCCACCUGGGGAGUACGCCGGCAACGGUGAAACUCAAAGGAAUUGACGGGGGCCCGCACAAGCGGAGGAACAUGUGGUUUAAUUCGAUGAUACGCGAGGAACCUUACCCGGGCUCAAACGACACAGGAAUACUUUUGAAAGGAGGUAGCUCUACGGAGCCUGUGUCGAGGUGCUGCAUGGUUGUCGUCAGCUCGUGCCGUGAGGUGUCGGCUUAAGUGCCAUAACGAGCGCAACCCCCAUCGCCAGUUACCAGCAAGUCAAGUUGGGGACUCUGGCGAGACUGUCGGCGCAAGCUGUGAGGAAGGCGGGGAUGACGUCAAAUCAGCACGGCCCUUACGUCCGGGGCGACACACGUGUUACAAUGGCAGGUACAGAGAGAAGCAAUGCGGCGACGCAAAGCGGAACUUGAAAGCCUGUCUCAGUUCGGAUUGGAGUCUGCAACUCGACUCCAUGAAGCUGGAUUCGCUAGUAAUCGCGCAUCAGCCAUGGCGCGGUGAAUACGUUCCCGGGCCUUGUACACACCGCCCGUCAAG
rnacentral:rRNA from 1 species